rnacentral:rRNA from 1 species
UGGGGAAUAUUGGACAAUGGGGGGAACCCUGAUCCAGCCAUGCCGCGUGUGUGAAGAAGGCCUUAUGGUUGUAAAGCACUUUAAGCGAGGAGGAGGGUACUGGUAUUAAUACUACCAGCUACUGGACGUUACUCGCAGAAUAAGCACCGGCUAACUCUGUGCCAGCAGCCGCGGUAAUACAGAGGGUGCGAGCGUUAAUCGGAUUUACUGGGCGUAAAGCGUGCGUAGGCGGCUAAUUGAGUCGGAUGUGAAAUCACCGAGCUUAACUUGGGAAUUGCAUUCGAUACUGGUUAGCUAGAGUGUGGGAGAGGAUGGUAGAAUUCCAGGUGUAGCGGUGAAAUGCGUAGAGAUCUGGAGGAAUACCGAUGGCGAAGGCAGCCAUCUGGCCUAACACUGACGCUGAGGUACGAAAGCAUGGGGAGCAAACAGG